CAUAAGAGAUAGUCAUAAAGAUUUUAUUUGGAAAAGUAAACAGGAAAACCGUGCCUUAAGGGAAGAAUUAUAUCGUAUAGAGAGACAACAGAUUGUUGACAGAGACCAGUUUGAAAACGAUAUAAGAAGGAUCAAUAACACCAAGCACGGACAUGCUGUUUAUGCACUACACACUCACCACACAAAGAUCGCUGAUCUGAAAGACGAGAAUGACGCAAUAAGAGAUAGUUGUAAAGAUUUUAUUUGGAGAAGUAAACAGGAAAGCCUUGCCUUAAGGGAAGAAUUAUAUCGUAUAGAGAGACAACAGAUUGUUGACAGAGACCAGUUUGAAAACGAUAUAAGAAGGAUCAAUAACACCAAGCACGGACAUGCUGUUUAUGCACUACACACUCACCACACAAAGAUCGCUGAUUUUAGAGACGAAAACGCUGCCAUAGGAGAUAGUCUUGAAGGUUAUAUUGGGAGAAAUAAACAUUAUUUAGAGAAAAUUAGUGCUUUAUGGUAACAAUUAGAUAAUACGUAGAGACAGUACAUUGUUGAUAGAGAACAGUUGGAGAAAGAUAUAAAAAGGAUCAAUAGC